UCAAGCGCACAGUUGAAGAGGAGUGCAUGGUUUCUGGCAUUUGGCUGGGCCUUUGUCUCUCGCUCCCACCAGAGCUUGGAAUCCGUCUCUGCUCUUCUGCAUUCUCCACCUCGGCAGCCCCUGGGGACUCUGUGACGGCCUCUGUUGCCCUGUGAUCUGCAGGUCCGGAGAGACGCACAGCUAAGAUGUCAGGACAUCCUGGAAGCUGAGAAAGGGUCUUGCCAUCUCUAAGCUGGACCUGGUGACCUUUUUGGAGGGAAAGAAAGAGCCCUGGACUGUGAAGAGUGAGGAGACCACAGCUGCACAGCCAGUCCAGAUGUAUAAUCUCAUCCCUGAACAUUUCUGAUGGUGUGAUUAUGACAUGUGACUUUAUCCGGCAACAGAGUGAGUUGUUGCUCCCGCCUGAGCCCAGCCCCCAGAAAGGAUUGUGACAUAUCGUUGGACCCAGAAUUGAGGGGGCAUUGUGUCAUAUCGCUGGGCCCCACACAUAGGUUAUGUGACUCUUCUGCCUGUGUCCUGCCCAUGUGGCCCAUUGUGACAUACUGUUGGGUCCCAAACCUAGGUGAUGUAACUCUACUGCUUAGGCCCUGCCUACAGAGGACAUUGUGACAUAUCCCUGCAUCCAUCACACAGGUAAUGCAGCUCUCUUCUGCUUGGCCCCUACUCACAGAAAGGAUUGUGAUGUAUCACAGGGCUCAGCACCUAGCUAACAUGACUUUUCUCCUCUUCUAGGUUUUUGCCCACACGGGAUAUUGUGACAUGUCACUGGGCCUAAUACUAGGGUGACAGUACUCUUUUGUCAUGGCACUGCCCUCAGCAGGUGUGGUGAUAUAUUACUGAGCCCAGAACAAAUGUGAUAUGAGUCUCCUGCCUGGACCCUGCCUACAAGGUGCAUUGUAACAUAUCUGGGGCCCUUUGACUAUUUUAUUUUAUUUAUUGUAUUAUAUUUUAUUUAUUUUAAUUUUAUUUUUGAGACAGAAUCUCACUCUGUCACCUAGAAUGGAGUGCAGUGGCAUGAUCUCUGCUCACUUCAACCUUUGCCUCCUGGGUUCAAGUGAUUCUCCUGCCUCAGCCUCCUGAGUAGCUGAGACUACAGGUGUGUGCCGCCACGUCUGGCUGAUUUUUGUGUUUUUGGUAGAGACAAGAUAUCACCCUGUUGGCCAGGCUGAUACCAAACUCCUGACCUCAGCCAGUCCACCCGCCUUGACCUCCCAAUGUGCUGAGAUUACAGGUGUGAACCAUUGCUCUUGGCACCCUUUGACUAUUUUAUGUGACUCUUCUCUCUUACCUGGACAUUGACCAAAUGGGCCCAGCACCAAGGUGAUAUGACUCUCCUCUCCUGCCUGGGCCUUGCCCAUAGAAGAGAGAGUGACUUACUGCUGAAUUGAGCAUACAGGUGAUACAAUUCUUCUGCUGACUCCCAGAAGUCACUGUAACAUAUAUCUGGGCCCAUUGCUGAGGUUGUGUGACUCUCUUCUCCCUGGGACCUGUCCACAGUAGGGAUUGUGACAUAUUGCUUGGCCAAGCACCUACAUUGUGUGACUUUUUAUUUAUUUUUUUAAGACAGAGUUUUGCUCUUGUUGCCCAGGCUGGAGUGCAAUACCAUGAUCUUGGCUCAGCUGGGAUUACAGGCAUGCGCCACCACACCCGGCAAAUUUUUUUUAUGUUUUCAGUAGAGAUGGGGUUUCUCCAUGUUAGUCACGCUGGUCUCAAACUCCCAACCUCAGGUGAGCCGCCUGCCUUGGCCUCCCAAAGUACUGGGAUUCCAGGCAUGAGCCACUGCACCUAGCUUCGAUAUGACUGUCUUCUUAUGCCAGGGCCCUGCCGACUGGAGUGAUUUUGACACAUAGCUGGGGCCAGCUCAAAUGUUAUGUGACUCCACACUUCUUCCUGAGCCCUAUCUGUGAGGGGCACUGUGUCUUAUCUCUGAGACCGUUAAUUAGGUAACAUAACUUUUAAUUUUUUGAGACAGAGUCUGGCUUUGUCACCCUGGCUGGAGUGCAGUGGUGUGAUCUUGGUUCACUGCAACUUCCGCCUCCUGAGUUCAAGUGAUUCACCUGCCUCAGCCUCCUGAGUAGCUGGGAUUACAGGUACACAUGCCACCACGCCCAGCUAAUUUUUGUAUUUUUAGUAGAGACGAAGUUUCACCAUGUUGGCCAGGCUGGUCUCGAAUUCCUGACCUCAAGUGAUCCACCUGCCUUGGCCUCCCAAAGUGCUGGGAUUGCAGGCAUGGGCCACCACACCUGGCCAAUGUAACUCUUUUGUUUGGACUGUCUUCUUGGGGUAUUGUGAUAUAUUGCUGGGCCCAGAAUCCAGGUGAUGUGACUCUGCUGUUUCAUCUCUGCACAAAAAGGGAUUGUGACAUACCACUGGGUCAAGAACCUAGAUGAGGUGACUCUCCUCUCCAGCCUGGGACCUGCACACAUUGUGUACUAAGACAUAUCACUGAGUCUAACACCUAGGUAAUGCAACUCUCCUUCAUGGGCCCUGCCCAUAGGGGUAUUAUGAAAUAUCUUUCUGUUAAUCACCUAGGUGAUGCGACACUCCUCUUCUACCUGGGAACUGCCAAAACAAGUAUUGGUACAUAUCACUGGGCCCAGCACAUAGGUGAUGUGACUCUUUUCUCAUGCAUGGGCUCUGAGAACUGGGGUGUUUGUUACAUAUAGUUGGGCCUAAACCCUAGGUCGUGUGAUUCUUUUAUUUUCCUGAGCUGUACUCACAGAGAGCAUUUUGACAUGUUUUUGGGCCCGUAAUUUAGAUGAUGUGACUCUCUUGGAUGGGCCCUCCCCGGAAUGGGUAUUGUGACAUAUUGCUGAGCCCAUUAUAUAGGUGAUGUGACUCUCUUGCAUGGGCCCUCCACAUAAGGGGUAGUGUGACAUAUUGCUGAGCCCAGUAGGUGAUGUGACUCUUCUCUAUGGUUUGGGCUUUGCCCAAGCAGGGAUUGUGAUGUGUUGCUGGACUCACCACCUAUGUGUUGUGACUCUCCUCUUCUGCCUAAGCCCUGCAUGCAUUGUGUGUUGUGACACGCCUGGAUUCAACACCUAGGUGAUACAACUUUAUGGCAGGGGAACCACCCACAGAAGUAUUGUAUCAUCUUUCCAUCACUUAGGUGAUGUGAUUCUUUUAUUUUUCCUGUUUCUGGCAUAUUUCGGGUAUAGUGACAUAUCAUUGAGUUCAACACCCAUGAAAUGGGAGGCUUCUGCCUGAGCCCAGCACAUAAGUGGCCUUGUGACAUAUCUUUGCAUUCAUUAUCUAGGAGAUUUAACUCCCCUUUUUGCCUGCACCCUGACCACUGGGAAGAUUGUGGCAAAUCACCAGUCUCAGCAAUCAAAUGAUGUGUUUUUCCUGCCUGGUCCUUGCCCACAGAUCAUUGUAACAUAUCACUGGGCCUAGCAUCCAGGUGAUGUGACUCUGCUGACUGUAUUCUGCUUUCAAGAGGAGAUUGUAACGUAUCCCUAAUCGAGCACCCAGGUGGUGUGACACUUCUGCCCUAUCCCUGCCCUUAGAGAUGAUUGUGACAUAUUGCCCCAAAAGGCAGGUGGUGUGAGUCUUCUGGUCAAUCCCUAUUCACUGGUGGGAUUGUGAUACAUAUCUUAUCCAAACUUAUAGGGGCAAUAUGACUCUCAUACCUCUAAACAACCAAUAGCAGAUACACUAGCUCUCAUAGCCAGGGUCAGGAAAAUGAGUAAUGUCUUGGGUUUCUUCUUUGUAUGAAGGUCAUAAAGAAUUAGCACUCUGUCACAUACUGUGUAAAGUCGUCAAGAGGUACAGGGAAUGUCCUAACAGAACUCAGCACACAGGGGAGGUUGCGACACUCAUAUGCAUAGCCUGCCAACAAUAAAGACUGUCAUCCUUCCACAUAAACACAGCUCACUGUCGAGGUUCUGAAUCUCAUACCCAGAUGAAGUUGAAAGUUAGAAAAUUAAAUCUCAUGUUAAUUCGAUCCAUAGAGAGGUUAGUGUCUCUGAGACCAAGAUUCAGCACACCUGUGAGUCAGUGACUUCAUUAAAAUGACAGAAUUUGCAGGAAGGAUUGAAGUUCUCAUGCACAAAUCCAGACCAUCAUUGAGACUGUCACUCAGGUACUUACACCCAACAUACAGAGGGUAUUUUGUCUCGUACCUAGAACUAAGAAAUGUGUGAAAUUGUUAAUCUCAUACCUCGACCUUAAUUCAGGUGUGUUUGUGACAUACACCUUUUUUAGGCACCUAAGUAAUUUGACUCUCCUGCCUGGGCCCAACGUACAGAUGGGAUUGUGCCAUAUUUCUGGACCCAGGAUUUAGGUGAUGUGAGUCUAUUCUCUUGUCUUAGUGCUUUCCACAGAGAACACUGGACAUAUCACAGGGCCUAGUGCCCAGGUGAUAUGACUUUCCUCUACUUCCUAGGCUUUUCCUAAAAAGGGAUUGUAAUAUACUGCUGGGUCAGAGCCUAGGUCGUGUGACUCUCCUGUGCUGCCUGGUUCCUCUUGUACAUUGUGUAUUGUGACAUGUGGCUUGUUCUAACACCUCGAUGAUGUGAAUCUCCUGCAUGGGCCCUGUCCACAGAGGUAUUAUAACAUAUCUUUUUAUUCAUCACCUAGAUGAUGUAACUCUUUUCUGUCUGGGCCCUGCCAAAAGGGAGGAUUGCGGCAUAUCACUGGAGCCAGCACCUAGGUGAUGUGAUUCUCCUGUUUUCCCUGGGCCUCAAAUAUUUUGGGUAUUGUAAAAUAUUACUAGGCCCACUACCUAUGGGAUUGCAUGCUCCUGCCUGGGCUCUGCCCACAGGGACCUUGUGACAUAUAUCUGCGUCCAUGACCUAAAAGGUGACACUUCUUGCCUGCACCAUGCCCUGAACAGGAAAGAUUGUGACAUAUCCCUGGAACCAGACACCAGGUGAUAUGGCUCUUCUGCCCCUGUCUUGCCCCCAGGGAGCAUUGUGACAUAGUGCUUAGCUCAGCACCCAGGUGAUGUGACUCUGUUGCCUGUGUUGUGCUUUCAGGAGAGAAUUGUAACAUAUCUCUGGCUGACCACCCAGGUGAUAUGACACUCCUGCUUGUUUCCUUCCCUCAGGGAAGAUUGUGAGAUACCUUGGCUGAAAUCCCAGGUGCGGUUUUGACACACUUCUGCCCAGCAGCUGAGUAUUGUGAUUCUUCAGAAUUGGCCCAGCCUACAAAUAGGAUUGUGCCACACUGCUGGACCCAGCACCUAGAUGAUGUAACUAUUCUCCUGCCUUGGUGCUACUCAAAAAAGACAUUAACAUAUCUCAGAGCCUUGCACCCAGGUAAUGUGAGUCUCCUCUCCUGCCUUGCUGCUGCACACAGAAGCGGGUUAUGUACAGGAUUGUUAAUCUCAUUUGGACCUUCCGGCACCUAUGAUUGUGACACAUGCCUCUGUGUAGAACCCAAGUGAGUUUUCUCUCCUGUUUGGAUUUAACCCACAGAUGGAAUCAUGACAUAUCGCUGCACCAGAAA